CCUACGGGCGGCAGCAGUGGGGAAUAUUGGAUAAUGGGGGCAACCCUGAUCCAGCCAUGCCGCGUGUGUGAAGAAGGCCCUCGGGUUGUAAAGCACUUUCAGUGAGGAAGAACGCCUGGUGGUUAAUACCCAUCAGGAAAGACAUCACUCACAGAAGAAGCACCGGCUAACUCCGUGCCAGCAGCCGCGGUAAUACGGAGGGUGCGAGCGUUAAUCGGAAUUACUGGGCGUAAAGCGCGCGUAGGUGGCUUGAUAAGCCGGUUGUGAAAGCCCCGGGCUCAACCUGGGAACGGCAUCCGGAACUGUCAAGCUAGAGUGCAGGAGAGGAAGGUAGAAUUCCCGGUGUAGCGGUGAAAUGCGUAGAGAUCGGGAGGAAUACCAGUGGCGAAGGCGGCCUUCUGGACUGACACUGACACUGAGGUGUGAAAGCGUGGGUAGCAAACAGGAUUAGAUACCCUAGUAGUC
rnacentral:rRNA from 1 species